AGUGGGAUUGCUAGGUCAUAUGGUAAAACUACGAUUCGUUUCUAAAGAGACUACCAAAGGCCUUCCAAAGUGGCUGCACCAUUUUGCAUUCCAAACAGCCAU
rnacentral:pre_miRNA from 1 species